rnacentral:snRNA from 1 species
CGGACGCGAGUUCUAUCGG